AAGAGCAAGCUCAGUGUUUCCUUCAAGCAGCAUCGUGGACAGAUUCCUGCCAGACCCUUCAGAGCAAGCACCCCACACCCCUAGCCCAGGGUCUCUUCAUCGAUAGGGGGUGAUCUGUCUGCCCCUCACUGUUUUCUCCAAAUAGAGAUAAGAUCUCACUAUAUUGCCCUGGCUGGUCUCAAACUCCCGUGUUCAAGUCAUCUGCCUGCCUCGACCUCCUAAAGGGCAAGCGGGAUUACAGCCUUCUCCACAGCCCAGCCACAGUGAGGGAGUCAUCAGCACUGGAACCCGGGGUCCACGGCCUUGGAGGAUCCGGACCCUCCGCAUUUGAGGAACUUGGCCUUCAGUCAGGGAGCCAAGAAGUCCCUGCCAAUCAAGGAGGGGGUGUGGGCUGGUGGGGGGGGGGCAGCCUUGGGGCACGGGAGCUGAUAGACCAGACUCAAGAGUUCUACUCCUGACUUCUAGAUUGUUCCACCUCCAUAUGGAAUAUGUUCCUUCCAUCUAACACUGUGUGAUUUGGGGACCAUCCAACUCAAAUGAAAGAAGCCAAGCCAUGCAGCGAGCCACCCCCUCCCCAAUGUGGGGUACCCCCUGCCCCCGCCCAGCUCCCCUGCCCUCCCAGCUGAGGGGGGAUCGCCGCCUGGUGAUCUCAGCCUCCCCUCCAAGUGGGCUGUGAAGUGUCUAAUCCAGGCUUUCAUCUGGCAUCCACAAUUAUAAUGUCAAGAUUGAAUAAUCUGCCUUUAUCUCCCGGGUGACAGCCAUGUAGAAACUUCAAAAGAAACAGUUUUGCUGGCAUCUAACGGCUUUUGUUAAUUACUAUAUCCCAAAGAAAAUGAAAUAAAGGAGGGAGAAAAAUGAUA
rnacentral:lncRNA from 1 species